UACAGAGGGUGCAAGCGUUGUUCGGAAUUAUUGGGCGUAAAGCGCGUGUAGGCGGCUUUGCAAGUCGGGCGUGAAAUCCCAUGGCUCAACCAUGGAAGUGCACUCGAAACUGCAGAGCUAGAGUCCUGGAGAGGAAGGUGGAAUGCUUGGUGUAGGGGUGAAAUUCGUAGAUAUCAAGCGGAACACCGGUGGCGAAAGGCGGCCUUCUGGACAGUGACUGACACUGAGACGCGAAAGCGUGGGGAGCAAACAGG
rnacentral:rRNA from 1 species